GCAAGGGCUUUUGCCAUCGACAGCCAUCAGUAUCAUUAAGCCCUGCACAACUACCGUGCUGUUUCUCAUUUAACAACAGUAUGAAAAUGUGAUGCAAGGGCUUUUGCCAUCGACAGCCAUCAGUAUCAUUAAGCCCUGCACAACUACCGUGCUGUUUCUCAUUUAACAACAGUAUGAAAAUGUGAUGCAAGGGCUUUUGCCAUCGACAGCCAUCAGUAUCAUUAAGCCCUGCACAACUACCGUGCUGUUUCUCAUUUAACAACAGGAAUAAAUGAUGCUCAACUGGGACCACUGGCUGAUGUGAUUUAUUAGGGAAAAAAAACACAACGCAAGGAGAGUACGAUAUACAUCUGUUACACUACAAUAGUUUAAAAAAAAUUCUAAGUGUUUGUCAGUUGGGCAUGCUCUCUACAAGGUUUUGUUACUUAUCAUAUGAACAUCAUUUUCUGACUCAAAUAAAGUUCCCUUAAGGUUUCAAAUUUUAAAUGAUAGAGAAUGCAUUUUGUUAAAAUAAAAUACUAACAACCUUGGUGAAAAUAUUUCUCACCUCUCUUUGCUCUUGAGAAGAAUAAAACAAUAUGUCAACUUAUUAUUA
rnacentral:lncRNA from 1 species